UACGUAGGGUGCAAGCGUUGUCCGGAAUUAUUGGGCGUAAAGAGCUUGUAGGCGGUUUGUCGCGUCUGCUGUGAAAACUGGAGGCUCAACCUCCAGCCUGCAGUGGGUACGGGCAGACUAGAGGUGCGGUAGGGGAGAUUGGAAUUCCUGGUGUAAGCGGUGGAAUGCGCAGAUAUCAGGAGGAACACCGAUGGACGAAGGCAGAUCUCUGGGCCGUAA
rnacentral:rRNA from 1 species